AGUGAACGCUGGCGGUAGGCCUAACACAUGCAAGUCGAACGGCAGCACAGUAAGAGCUUGCUCUUACGGGUGGCGAGUGGCGGACGGGUGAGGAAUACAUCGGAAUCUACUUUUUCGUGGGGGAUAACAUAGGGAAACUUACGCUAAUACCGCAUACGACCUACGGGUGAAAGCAGGGGAUCUUCGGACCUUGCGCGAUUGAAUGAGCCGAUGUCGGAUUGGCUAGUUGGCGGGGUAAAGGCCCACCAAGGCGACGAUCCGUAGCUGGUCUGAGAGGAUGAUCAGCCACACUGGAACUGAGACACGGUCCAGACUCCUACGGGAGGCAGCAGUGGGGAAUAUUGGACAAUGGGCGCAAGCCUGAUCCAGCCAUACCGCGUGGGUGAAGAAGGCCUUCGGGUUGUAAAGCCCUUUUGUUGGGAAAGAAAAGCAGCAGGUUAAUACCCCGCUGUUCUGACGGUACCCAAAGAAUAAGCACCGGCUAACUUCGUG
rnacentral:rRNA from 1 species